rnacentral:rRNA from 1 species
CCUACGGGUGGCAGCAGUGAGGAAUAUUGGUCAAUGGGCGGGAGCCUGAACCAGCCAAGCCGCGUGAGGGAAGAAGGUACAGCGUAUCGUAAACCUCUUUUGUAAGGGAACAAAGGCGGGGACUAGUCCCCGGAUGAGGGUACCUGAAGAAAAAGCAUCGGCUAACUCCGUGCCAGCAGCCGCGGUAAUACGGAGGAUGCGAGCGUUAUCCGGAUUUAUUGGGUUUAAAGGGUGCGCAGGCGGCCUGUUAAGUCAGCGGGAAAAGCCCGGGGCUCAACCCCGGCGAGCCGUUGAAACUGGCGGGCUGAAGUUGGAGAGAAGUACGCGGAAUGCGCGGUGUAGCGGUGAAAUGCUUAGAUAUCGCGCAGAACCCCGAUUGCGAAGGCAGCGUACCGGCUCCACACUGACGCUGAGGCACGAAAGCGUGGGUAUCGAACAGGAUUAGAUACCCCAGUAGUC